rnacentral:rRNA from 1 species
GGAGCCUUGGAAGUCGGAGCGCCAGCUUCGAUGGAGGCGUCGGUGGGAUACUACCCUGACUGUGCUGACAUUCUAACCUCGAACCGUGAUCCGGUUCAGGGACAGUGUCAGGUGGGCAGUUUGACUGGGGCGGUCGCCUCCUAAACAGUAACGGAGGCGCCCAAAGGUUCCCUCAGAAUGGUUGGAAAUCAUUCGUAGAGUGCAAAGGCAAAAGGGAGCUUGACUGCGAGACCUACAAGUCGAGCAGGGACGAAAGUCGGGCUUAGUGAUCCGGUGGUUCCGCAUGGAAGGGCCAUCGCUCAACGGAUAAAAGCUACCCUGGGGAUAACAGGCUUAUCUCCCCCAAGAGUCCACAUCGACGGGGAGGUUUGGCACCUCGAUGUCGGCUCAUCGCAUCCUGGGGCUGAAGUAGGUCCCAAGGGUUGGGCUGUUCGCCCAUUAAAGCGGUACGCGAGCUGGGUUCAGAACGUCGUGAGACAGUUCGGUCCCUAUCCGUCGCGGGCGUAGGAAAUUUGAGAGGAGCUGUCCUUAGUACGAGAGGACCGGGAUGGACACACCGCUGGUGUACCAGUUGUUCCGCCAGGAGCAUCGCUGGGUAGCUACGUUUGGAAGGGAUAAGUGCUGAAAGCAUCUAAGCAUGAAGCCCCCCUCAAGAUGAGAUUUCCCAUGGAGUUAAUCCAGUAAGACCCCUUAGAGAUGAUGAGGUUGAUAGGUCUGGUGUGGAAGCAUGGCGACAUGUGGAGCUGACAGAUACUAAUCGGUCGAGGACUUAUCCAAAUU